UGGGGAAUUGUUCGCAAUGGGCGCAAGCCUGACGACGCAACGCCGCGUGGAGGAUGAAGAUCUUCGGGUCGUAAACUCCUGUCGAAUGGGACGAAUGGCCCGGCCGUGAAUAUCGGUCGGGAAUGACGGUACCGUGAGAGGAAGCCCCGGCUAACUCCGUGCCAGCAGCCGCGGUAAUACGGGGGGGGCAAGCGUUGUUCGGAAUUACUGGGCGUAAAGGGCUCGUAGGUGGCCUUUUAAGUCCGACGUGAAAUCCCUCGGCUUAACCGGGGAACUGCGUCGGAGACUGGAAGGCUUGAAUUCGGGAGAGGGACGUGGAAUUCCAGGUGUAGCGGUGAAAUGCGUAGAUAUCUGGAGGAACACCGGUGGCGAAGGCGGCGUCCUGGACCGAGAUUGACACUGAGGAGCGAAAGCCAGGGGAGCAAACGGG
rnacentral:rRNA from 1 species